UACAGAGACCUCAAGCGUUAUCCGGAAUCAUUGGGCGUAAAGCGUACCGAUAGGUGGCUUUGUUUGUCUUGGGUGAAAGCCCGAAGCUCAACUUCGGAGUUUGCUUAAGAUACUGCAAGGCUAGAGGGGCAAAGAGGUCCUUGGAACGAACGGUGUAGUAGUGAAAUGCGUUGAUAUCGUUCGGAACACCGAUAGCGAAGGCAGAGGACUGGGUGCCACCUGACACUGCUAGGACGAAAGCGUGGGGAGCGAAUGGG
rnacentral:rRNA from 1 species